AAAAGUUAAAAGCAUCAAAGAAAAAGUGACAUUAUUGGAAAUCGGAAUUCUAUGUUCCAUUAUUCCAGGAUCCAUAUUUAAGGCCGAUUUACACUCGACCGCGAAAAUCGGGCUUGCACUCACACACUUGCAACUUUUUGUGUAUGAACACAAAGUCGAACGAGAAUCGUGGUGAAAAAUGAGAAAAGGAAAAGAAAGACAAGGCCAACAAGAGCCAAAGCGUCAUUUUGUUAUUUUUUGUUGAAGUGUUUGGUCGCGUCGUGUCUCGUGUCGUUGUUUGUAUAAUGUUAGUUUAUUAAUUAUAAACAAUUUUAUUAAAUUAUAAACAAUAUGGAAAACAAAAAAGAUGUAAUCUCUAAUGAUGAAGAAAAAUCUAGAAGGUGAAACAUGCGAUUGGGUAUCUAAAAAAAACACCAACAACAGCAGCAGCAUCAAAUGAAAUAAAAUGAAAAAAAAUGUAUUGUAUUUUAUAUUGUAUUUAUUGUGAAAAUUUCGUUUGCCAAAAUAAAAUAAAAAAUAAAACAGUUUCA